ACAUUGGGGACAUCAUUGGGGGCUUUGGGGACAUCAUUGGGGGCAUUGGGGACAGCAGUGGGGGUGGUGGCAUUGGGGACACCAGUUUGGGGACACCCCUUGGGGACAGCAUUGGGGCCAUCAGUGGGGAACCCCAUUGGGGACAGCAGUGGGGACACUCCGUAAGGACACCCCAUGGGGACACCAUUGGGGACAUCAGUGGGGACAUUGAGGGCAUUGGGGACAUCAUUGGGGGCAUUGGGGACACCAUUGGUGCAUUGGGGGACAUCAGUGGGGACAU
ensembl:lncRNA